AUACUUACCUGUGCGGGGUCGAUCGAUGAUCAGGAAGGUCGAUGGCCUAGGAAGGCCACCUCCAUUGCAGUUGGGAGGGGGUCUACCUAGCAUCUCCCAUUGAGGAGAGUGCACUCCAUAAUUUGUGGUAGCGGAGGCUCGCAUUUGCAUGACCUCGA
rnacentral:snRNA from 1 species